rnacentral:rRNA from 1 species
UACGUAGGGUCCGAGCGUUGUCCGGAAUUAUUGGGCGUAAAGGGCUCGUAGGCGGUUCGUCACGUCGGGAGUGAAAACUCGGGGCUUAACCCCGAGCCUGCUUCCGAUACGGGCAGACUAGAGGUAGGCAGGGGAGAGCGGAACUCCUGGUGUAGCGGUGGAAUGCGCAGAUAUCAGGAAGAACACCGGUGGCGAGGGCGGCUCUCUGGGCCUUACCUGACGCUGAGGAGCGAAAGCGUGGGUAGCGAACAGG